rnacentral:rRNA from 1 species
CAGCAGCCACGGUAAUACGUAGGGUGCGAGCGUUAAUCGGAAUUACUGGGCGUAAAGCGUGCGCAGGCGGUUCGUUAAGACAGAUGUGAAAUCCCCGGGCUUAACCUGGGAACUGCAUUUGUGACUGGCGAGCUAGAGUAUGGCAGAGGGGGGUAGAAUUCCACGUGUAGCAGUGAAAUGCGUAGAGAUGUGGAGGAAUACCGAUGGCGAAGGCAGCCCCCUGGGCCAAUACUGACGCUCAUGCACGAAAGCGUGGGGAGCAAACAGGAUUAGAGACCCCCGUAGUCCCUGUCUCUUAUAC